rnacentral:rRNA from 1 species
CCUACGGGAGGCAGCAGUGGGGAAUCUUGCGCAAUGGGCGAAAGCCUGACGCAGCAACGCCGCGUGCGGGAAGAAGGCUUUCGGGCUGUAAACCGCUUUCAGCAGGAACGAAAAUGACGGUACCUGCAGAAGAAGGAGCGGCCAACUAUGUGCCAGCAGCCGCGGUGAUACAUAGGCUUCAAGCGUUGUCCGGAUUUAUUGGGCGUAAAGAGUUCGUAGGCGGUCGAGUAAGUCGGGUGUGAAAAUUCUGGGCUCAACCCAGAGACGCCACCCGAUACUGCUUGACUUGAGUUCGAUAGGGGAUGGGGAAUUCCUAGUGUAGCGGUGAAAUGCGCAGAUAUUAGGAGGAACACCGGUGGCGAAGGCGCCACUCUGGAUCGAUACUGACGCUGAGGAACGAAAGCAUGGGUAGCAAACAGGAUUAGAUACCCUGGUAGUCCAUGCCGUAAACGUGGGCACUAGGUGUGGGUUUCUAUUAACGAAAUCCGCGCCGUCGCUAACGCAUUAAGUGCCCCGCCUGGGGAAGUACGGUCGCAAGCUUAAAACCNCAAAGGAUUGACGCGNGAGAGNGCGAGACGACACGAGGAGAG